GGGUUGUUAAAGCACUUUCAGUCGUGAGGAAGGUAGUGUAGUUAAUAGCUGCAUUAUUUGACGUUUAGCGACAGAAGAAGCACCGGCUAACUCCGUGCCAGCAGCCGCGGUAAUACGGAGGGUGCGAGCGUUAAUCGGAAUUACUGGGCGUAAAGCGCAUGCAGGUGGUUUGUUAAGUCAGAUGUGAAAGACCCGGGGCGUCAACCUCGGAAUAAGCAUUUGUAAGCUGGCAGACUAGAGUACUGUAGAGGGGGGUAGGAAGUUUCAGGUGUAGCGGUGAAAUAGCGUAGAGAUCUGAAGGAAUACCGGUGGCGAAGGCGGCCCCCUCGGACAGAUACUGACACUCAGAUGCGAAAGCGUGGGGAGCAAACAGGAUUAGAUACCCUGGUAG
rnacentral:rRNA from 1 species